UUUCCUGAGAAAAUCUUUUAUUGGACUCACUGUUUUUGUUAUGGUUUCUAAUCCUGCGCCAUUCGCUGGAAUUUAAUGUAAAGAAGGAAAUUACUUCAUCUUCAACUUUCAGGAUGAUGCUCCCUGACACAAACAGGAACGGCUCAAGAACGGUUUGAGGAGCACAACAACAAGUCUGAGGUGUUGACUCGGCAUCCAAAUUUCCCAGAUCUCAAUCGAGUGGGGCAUCUGUGGGAUGUGCUGGACAAACAAGUCCGAUCCAUGGAGGCCCCACGGAUCUGCUGCUAACAUCUUGGUGCAGAUACCUGCACACCUGGAGUCCACGCUGUGACGGGUCAGAAUGUCAUGCUGGAUUUGAUCUGCAUAUCUCUUAACAUCUCCAGCUUUCCUCACACCUCCAGGCUACUGCAAAAACACCCCCUGGGUAGUUGUGCCCCUGGUUGGCACUCACUCACUGGGGUAGCACACACAGACGUACCUCUGUCCUGAGCCAUAGGUGAGCGUGUGAUUGGUGGGUGAGCUCCAUCAGGUCCGUUCCCAGAGUUCUGUGGGGCCAUGGCUGAACCUGCAGAGCAACACAAGCAGGGCAGAAGAUUCAGGCAUCUGUGUGACAUCUUUUACACAGUACAACCCUGUUAUUUAAAGCUUUUGCAUUAAAAGAAAAUGAAGUAA